rnacentral:rRNA from 1 species
CGGGUGGCAGCAGUGGGGAAUAUUGGACAAUGGGCGAAAGCCUGAUCCAGCCAUGCCGCGUGUGUGAUGAAGGCCUUAGGGUUGUAAAGCACUUUUGUCAGGGAAGAUAAUGACGGUACCUGAAGAAUAAGCACCGGCUAACUUCGUGCCAGCAGCCGCGGUAAUACGAAGGGUGCUAGCGUUGUUCGGAAUCACUGGGCGUAAAGCGCGCGUAGGUGGCUUAGCAAGUCAGAGGUGAAAGCCUGGAGCUCAACUCCAGAACUGCCUUUGAAACUGCUAAGCUUGAGUGUCGGAGGGGAUAGCGGAAUUGCUAAUGUAGAGGUGAAAUUCGUAGAUAUUAGCAGGAACACCGGUGGCGAAGGCGGCUAUCUGGACGACAACUGACACUGAGGCGCGAAAGCGUGGGGAUCAAACAGGAUUAGAUACCCCAGU